rnacentral:misc_RNA from 1 species
AUCUCCAUCAUCAUCAUCAUCUUCUUCAAGACUUCCAAUGUUCUCUUCUUCUCCAUCCUCAUUAUAGUGAUCUCCUCUUUCUCAUCAAAACCACUCCUCAAUCUCUUCUUCAUCCUCAUCUCUAAGUUAUAGAAGAGUAUUGGCUUUCAAAUUAGAAGGUGAUGCUUUUGCAAUUUCCUUAGGCCUAACACUUGAAGUGGAUGUAGGCAGAACAUUUUUGUCUUUUGUUGCUCUAGUACUAUAGAUAUUCUCUUCAACUCCAAUAGCUUUAGCAACCACGCCCCAAGUUAAAUUAUCAUCUCCAAACACAACUUCAUCCUCAUCAUCCAAGCGGAAAUUGAUUCGGUAAACUCAAUUUUGCUUAUUCUGUUCAAAGAAGAAAAUAAAACCCUAAGCUUUUGACUUUCAAUUUGAUAUUUCUUAAUUAUUUGUGUGAUUUGGUGUGGAUGAGCCUAUGGUAAGCUGAUUGGUAAAGUAGACCAAAUGAUGGAGAUUUUAGUGUGGGAGAUAGUCGUUUCAUUAUUGUUUGGUUCAGAAAUUAAUUCGAGGCCAAAUUUUCUCGAAAGUGUGGGUGAA